GCGGUUUUGCAUUUCGUGUGGACGGUCUCUGGAGUUUUUAAAGGACACGGAUCAGACGGAAGGACCAAGCGCACAGGGGACAGCGAAGCAGCCGGAAAAUGCUAAACAAAGUAAGAGCAGCAUAGCGCUAGCUAUCUGAAGCCAUUGUCAGACAUGCAGUGAAUACAAGUGCAGCUACCGUUUCAGUUUAGCAGACGACUGCCAAAACAAUUAAUGUUGCGGUGACCUACCGGGAAGUCUGCCUGCGAGUGGGUGCACGUCAUGGCCUUACUGCGCAUGCGCGCAUCAGCGAUGCAAUUAGUCUAAAGGAGCAGCACGUGCCAGAGACAAGAGAAGAGACGUGUGCUUGUUCAUUUGUUUGCAACGCGGCAGCAGAAGGAAGAGCUCUCGGACAAGCACAGAGUUAAAACCCAUGGUAAAGAUCAAAGAGGCUACCGGAGGCACCUGACCAAACCGUCCCUGAUCUUCAGCCACACGCUGGCGGAGAUCAAAGCCAUCUUCCCCGGGGGACUCUUCCAGGGAGACACCUUCCGCAUCGUUCUGCUCGGAAUACGAUUCCCGGAGGAAAGGAAGCACGCUGACCAUCCACGGCAUCAGCCAGGACGACGACGCCAUCUACCAGUGCAUCGCCGAGAACAGCGCCGGCUCCACACAGGACAUCAUCGGCUACGUGCUGCAUAUCCAGUGGUCCUCAGAUGACAAAACCGAAGACCAUUGGGGAAUGUCCCAUUUGUGGGAAAGGUCUAAAGGAUUUGAUAUGAAAGGUUAAAUGAUUAAAGGUCUGAAUGAUUUGAUAUGAAAGGUUAAAUGAUUAAAGGUCUAAAGGAUUUGAUAUGAAAGGUUAAAUGAUUAAAGGUCUGAAUGAUUUGAUAUGAAAGGUUAAAUGAUUAAAGGUCUAAAUGAUUUGAUAUGAAAGGUUACAUGAUUAAAGGUCUGAAUGAUUUGAUAUGAAAGGUUGAAUGAUUAAAGGUCUGAAUGAUUUGAUAUGAAA